AUAAGUGAGUUGUGUGCAACCUCACAGCAGGCUGCUCUGAGCACCAGGCAAGAGGCCACAAACCAAACAGAGAGCAGGAAAAGGGCCAGAACAGGCGAGCUCAGGGCUGCAAAGCUGAGCUGGAGACGAGGGUGGAGGGCUUCCAGGAAGCGCUUACAGCACAAGCAACGGCAGAAAGGAGAGAAAGGACGCGCUGGGUUGGGAACGGAGGAGCCGCUGUCUGCUGAGGGUGAGGUCCUCGCAGACACAGACGUGGGAGAAACUGAGGCACAGCAAGCGAUGGCUUGCCCAGCGUCAUGAAGCCAGGGAGUUCAAGAGCUGGGAUCUGAGCCCAGGCCAUGAGCACUCUCUACACUUGGAGGCUGGCUUUGGACAUUCUGGGAGUCAAGGACCUGCCAGGCUUCUGGCAGGAGGGCCAUGAACGGAGCAGAGGCUAAGCUGAGCCAUCAGGAAGUGAGACCAGGACUCCCCAGCACCCGUCCUCUCAACGGCAAGAGAGGAGGCAAGGAUGAGCAGGACCACAGGAGACACACACAGAGAAGGCAGCCGGGCUCUCCUUGUUUGGGCAUCAGGGGUGUGAGUUCCUCCCAUUCCAGCUCCAAUGGCCAGCAAGUCCUGGGCUCCGGGAGGUAACUGGACAGUAGACACGGGCUCCCCAGGGAGCCCCUGUUCCAUACCCGGAGCUGGCAGCCCAACUGUUCGUGGGGGAUGUGGGUGGAGGUGUGGGAGGCAGGGAGGGGGCGAGGGAAUUCAGAGAGGGUGCCAAGGGGCCCUUGGUGCUCCCGCCCAGCCCAUACUGCCCGGCUGAGGAUUCGCCUCACAUCGCUGGGGCUUCUGAUCUUGCCAAAGAAGCCAGAAAUCCAGACCUUGAUGUGAAAUCUCCAGAUUUUUCACUGUCACUUCUUACAUGCAAGUAGUUCAUAAAUGGGUUAACCCCGGGUGCAGUGGGGGAGGUAAGGGCUAGGCCAGGUCAGAGGCAGGGGCGGAGUGGGAGGGCGGCCCCCAUUUUUCCUAGGUGUAAAGGACUAGCCUAAGGGCGAGCGUGUGAGCAGCGCAGGGCAGCACGAAUCUGCACGCAUGCAGAGCUGCGGCUGUGGCGAGUGUGUGCGCAUCUGCCUCCGCGCACACCCGAGCACAGGUGUAUAAUGCGGGACAGCACGUGAGGCCUUGCACCUGCGCAUUCGCGCACGUGCAGGGGGGCUCCGACGUGGGCCCUGGUCUAUACCCAACAACACGGUGGGCUCGGAUGGUUGUGUGCAAUGGCCCCCCACGAGGAGCCGCGCCCACGCGGCCUGGCGGCCGUGGGAGCGCACGCCAGGCGACACUCGUGCGUGCUAGCCGCCCCCCCUCCCCCACCGGCAGGCCCGGAGGCGGCCCUGGCCUGGCGGAACCCGGGGCGUCGCUCUUCCCGCCCUGAGCCCCAGCGCAGGCAGCCGAGCCGAGGGGGCGAGGGGAGGGGGCGGCGCGGCAGCUGCGCCCGGGCGGCCAUUAGUCACCAGAUGUCACCUUCUGCUGCUGGGGCGGCGCCGGGCGCAGACAAUGGCCGCGCGGGCCGACCGCAAAGCCGCGCCUCUGCUGACACCUAGAGCCCCGCGCCCGCGAUGCCCGGCUGCUGGCACUCGGCUGUGUGUCGCCGCCCGCGCUUUCCGCCCGCCUUCCUGCCUUCCUGCCCCUCCUCCAAGUGGCCCCUUAUGCUCCCCGGACAAGGCCGCUCCUCUUCCUCCCAGCCGGGGCUCCGUGGGGUCCGCAGGUAGGGACCGCGCGAGGCACAGUGGCUGAUCCUCAGAGCUGGUCCUGGGAUGGCGCUGGUACCUUCCACUCUGCGGAGGAAUCCCGCUAGCUGCUGAAGUUCCUUGCCAGCCACACACGGGCUCAGCUUCAAGCCCCUGUGUUUCAAGAACCAGACCCGAAAGCACAGUCCCUACCUUGCUGUGUGACCCUGGGCCGGUUGUCACCCUCUCUAGGCACUGGUUGCUCAUCUGGGGGCUUGGAAGACGGGGCUAGUCGGUGCCGGGAGGGCCCAGGCACAGCUGAGGCUGCUGCACACCUGUGCCCAAGUGACCCUCUCGAGGUUGGGAGGGGGUGGCAGCGGGCAGCUCUCUUUGAAAAUGAGAACAGCUGUAAGGGACAAGGUCGUCGGGCCCCCUGCAUCGCCAGCAUGCUCAGGAAGCUUCCGGACUGCAGCUGAGUCGCAGAGGCGGCAAGUCAGAGGAGAGCAGACGCAAUACUGAACCCCGGGGCAGGCCCUCCGCCCCCGUCCUGCUCUGUGGGGACCCAGACCCUGAAGGCCUCCGGCGCCGGAAAUCCAGGGCGAAGACGGCCUCCGGGGGUGGCCUCAUCUCAAGGCCGUCUUUGCCCCUUUCCUCAGUGCAGGGGGCCUGCCAGGGCUCCCAUUCCUGCCCAGCCCCCAGCC